UACAGAGGUCCCAAGCGUUGUUCGGAUUCACUGGGCGUAAAGGGUGCGCAGGUGGUCGGGUAAGUCUGACGCGAAAUCCCGCAGCUUAACUGCGGAAUGGCAUUGGAUACUAUUCGGCUAGAGGGUUGGAGGGGGGACUGGAAUUCUCGGUGUAGCAGUGAAAUGCGUAGAUAUCAGGAGGAACACCGAUGGCGAAGGCAGGUCUCUGGGCCGAUACUGACGCUGAGGUGCGAAAGCGUGGGGAGCAAACAGG
rnacentral:rRNA from 1 species